CAGAGCAUGAGUUGCAUGACUGAUGCUUGGUAUCAAUAUGAUACCUCUGUGUGUUCAGCAGACCCUCGCUGGAUUCAUGGAACCUCUUCUACACGUCGACAAGAUAUGUUUCUUGUAUUUAUGCCAGCCCGUCUUCAGGCUGGCUUUUUUUCAU
rnacentral:ncRNA from 11 species